GGGGUAGGGGCAACAGUCCAGCUGCUUCCAGUGCAGCUGUUGCAGUCUCCGGUGGCGUCGUCGGCGUCGGGCAGCCCGGUGAACGGAAUCUCCGGACUCGUAGUAUGUGCCAAGAACCUACAGUAUGUUCAACUGGGUGCACACAAGCCGCCGGACGCACAGGCUUUACAGGGCAACAACUCACAGUGUGAAUAUGCGGAGGGACUGGGCCGCACUCGUCAAGAACAAGGAAACAGUCUGCCAUGCACAUACCUCUCAUCUCCCUUGCUUGCUAGUACCGCGCCACUGAAUGGCCACACACAGUACAGUCAUGCCGUGUGUGACCCUUCCUGCACACAAGCAGCCAAACAAGCAGCCGAACAAGCAGCCAGCCGAACUGACAGAAAGACUACUGUCCAAGGCGACUCGGUGAAUGGGUCAAUGGAGGGUCAAUAUUGCAUGGAGCAACACUCUGCUGUCCACCACCAAGAGAACCAUGCCAGCAGGAAUAAUGGCUUGAGCAGGGAGGAGGAUAAAGGGACUUGCUCCUAUCAAGAUGAGAACAUUGAUGCCACUUCCGGGACAUCUACACCGCCGUCUCGCGCAUACUGGAACAGUCAAGUGUGAGUCGUGUGGAAAUGCCAACAAUCGCAGCCGUGCUCCGGGUGCUGGUGUCGCGGUGUGUGUGUGUGUGUGUGUGUGUGUGUGUGUGUGCUUGUUUGUGCUUGUGUGUGUGUGUGUGUGUGUGUGUGUGUGUGUGUGUGUGUGUGCUUGUGUGUGUGUGUGUGUGUGUGUGUGUGUGUGUAUGCGUGUGUGUAUGUGUGUGUAUAUGUGUACGUGUACGUUUCUUGAUUGGACAGUGAACAUAGAGUUAUUGAAGUGCACGCCAAUUCCUCACCAAUGUUAGAUAUGGCAUUCUUGAUUUUGGAUUUCAAUUAGCCAUGAGUGCGUUGGGAGUUUAUUCUACGUCCUGUGCGAAUUUCGGGCUGAACCAUUCUACGUUUGAACUUUGUUUUUGAAGCACUGAAUACCUCGGAGCAAUCACCCCAGUCUUUGUGCAGAGCUACCAAUCGUCACGGGAUCUCAUAGUACACUGUUUGGUAUGUGCAUGUGUACAUGUACACCGCAGCAUAACUAUAAUUAUACUGUGCAUGUACACUUGUAGUCCUGGUAAGCACCCCAGUCUCCUCUCCCUGCUGGCGGCAUGACAUGUACAGCCCAUUAUUCUUAUCGGUAUCUUUCAGAUAUUCCAUCUACGAGAAAUGUUUAAAUGCGUUCCUGAAUAUUCGU